ACCUACGGGGGGCAGCAGUAGGGAAUCUUCGGCAAUGGGCGAAAGCCUGACCGAGCAACGCCGCGUGAAUGAAGAAGGCCUUCGGGUUGUAAAAUUCUGUUAUAAGGGAAGAAAGGUGAUAGGAGGAAAUGACUAUCAAUUGACGGUACCUUAUGAGAAAGCCACGGCUAACUACGUGCCAGCAGCCGCGGUAAUACGUAGGUGGCAAGCGUUAUCCGGAAUUAUUGGGCGUAAAGAGCGCGCAGGUGGUUAAUUAAGUCUGAUGUGAAAGCCCACGGCUUGACCGUGGAGGGUCAUUGGAAACU
rnacentral:rRNA from 1 species